CCAGUAUGUUACAAUGUGAUGCUGAGGAUCCUGACAAAGAGGUGACAAGUAGGAACUUCAGUCAUUACAUUUCCUCCUGUGAUGAGUUCAGAUGAGCAGAAAACAGCCUUAAGCCUUCAAUCUGCAGCUUUCAUGAACCUGCAGGAAUCCGGAUCGAGGACACUGACGGCUGUCACGACGCUUCACAGCCUCAUAAAUCUGGGAGACGCUGCAGCAGCAGAUCUGAUGACCCCAUACAUCACUGAAAGGUCACCGGCGUGACGACGAGGAAGCGAUUCGUCUUCUGAAAAUCCAGCAAGAAGAAUCUCUGCUGUGGAUCUCCAACUGAUGACUCUGCAGCUCUGAAGAUGUUU
ensembl:lncRNA